GACGAACGCUGGCGGCGUGCUUAACACAUGCAAGUCGAACGGAAAGGCCCUGCUUUUGUGGGGUGCUCGAGUGGCGAACGGGUGAGUAACACGUGAGUAACCUGCCCUUGACUUUGGGAUAACUUCAGGAAACUGGGGCUAAUACCGGAUAGGAGCUCCUGCUGCAUGGUGGGGGUUGGAAAGUUUCGGCGGUUGGGGAUGGACUCGCGGCUUAUCAGCUUGUUGGUGGGGUAGUGGCUUACCAAGGCUUUGACGGGUAGCCGGCCUGGGAGGGUGACCGGCCACAUUGGGACUGGGAUACGGCCCAGCCUCCUACGGGAGGCAGCAGUGGGGAAUAUUGCACAAUGGGCUGAAGCCUGAUGCAGCAACGCAGCGUGCGGGAUGACGGCCUUCGGGUUGUAAACCGCUUUCGCCUGUGACGAAGCGUGAGUGACGGUAAUGGGUAAAGAAGCACCGGCUAACUCCGUG
rnacentral:rRNA from 1 species